AAGGGUCAGCACCCACACGCACCACACACACACACACACACACACACACACAGAGGUGCCUGACUCGGACACCUCUUGCAUGGACUGGCCUUGGGCCUGAUCCAGCCAGGCCGUUCUCAUGUCCUUGCAGAUGGCAAGCAUUAGCAGGGCCCCCAGGUGCUUCCAUCACAAGCCUUCGCGCUGGAAUGACUGCUUCUCACUCCCACCUCGCCACCGUUUCACGAGAGAGCAGCUGCGCAUCGAGGAAACACUGGCUCAGUUUGGCACGCGGAGGAUUCAGCGCAGCGCUCAUUCAAGACGCCUCCCCUCCCAUUCGGGGUCUUUACCUCUUUCUUGCUUCUGGGCUGCUGACGAAGCAGAGAAAGAGGGACCUGUCUGUUGUUCUCCCUGCAGCCGGGAGUUCCACCUGGCAUCAUGGUGCCACCACAAAGAAAGCCCUGCUCCUGCAACCACCAGCCUUACAACUGCCAGUGGUGGACCAUUCACCAAAUAAGAAAAGCAACCUGGAAUGCGAAUCAGGGACAACCAAGCUCCAAGCCCUUUUGAGCUGUUUGGGGUCAGGGGUCCAUCUUAUUUAUUUAUUAUUUCUCUGUGUAAGCCACUCUGAGCCAUUUUUGGAAGGGCGGUACAGAAAUCGAAUGAAUAAAUAAUAAUAAAUAAAUAAGCUCA